UACGUAGGGACCAAGCGUUGUUCGGAUUUACUGGGCGUAAAGGGCGCGUAGGCGGCUUGACAAGUCACUUGUGAAAUCUCCGAGCUUAACUCGGAACUGUCAGCUGAUACUGUUUUGCUAGAGUGCGGAAGGGGCAAUCGGAAUUCUUGGUGUAGCGGUGAAAUGCGUAGAUAUCAAGAGGAACACCUGAGGUGAAGACGGGUUGCUGGGCCGACACUGACGCUGAGUGCGCGAAAGCCAGGGGAGCAAACGGG
rnacentral:rRNA from 1 species